rnacentral:miRNA from 1 species
UCUUUGUCCUUCCCUUUGUGCCUCAGAUGUGUUUAUUUUAUUUAUUUAUUUAUAUAUAUAUAUAUAUAUAUAUAUAUAUAUAAAUAAAUAAAUAAAAUAAACACAUCUGAGGCACAAAGGGAAGGACAAAGA